UUCUACCGACUGAGUAAUCAAGCCCCCAUUAUCUUCCUUCAUCUUUCUUUUUUCACCGCCGCUCGUCUCUUCCUCAUUAAUAAGGGCAUCAAAUCUAGAGCCCAAUCUUCCUUUUCCAGCUACCUUGCUACCAGAUUCUCGCAAAUCUCUCAAUUUCUGUUGGGAUCUACUUUCCACCAGCAUCCAAGGUCCGAAUGCCGGUUCGGUUUCCUUCCCACGUUUAUCGUUGUUUUUGCUAAACUCACAGUCGGCCAUAGUUUUUCUCCCUCAUUACCAGAUGCUUCUUUCGACAGUGAGCACAUCUCCCUUACAUGUCCGUAUUUGCCACAAGCAAAACAAACUGUUGGUAAGCCUUCGUACUCCACCCUUUGAAUAUUGCCAUUAACUCGAAUUUGAGAGACAAGAGGUUUGUCCAGGUUAAUGAACACAACCAUCCUGGCAAAUCUCCCUCUAGUUCUAUUAUCAGUCUUGAAAUAAAACUUUGCAACCUUAUCUAUUGUGUUACCAAUCACCUCAAGAAUCUUCUUCUUAUACAUAAAUCCAGGUAGUCCAGAUAGCCUAAUCCAAGCCAUGACCACACUUGGGUAAGGUUGAAGAGUGGAAAAGUCUUUUGUCCAUGGUUGAACUGUCAAAUAUUACCCAAAAAUUAUCCAUGGUCCCUGGGUUAGAACCUUUUCAUAAUCAUUGUUAUUCUGAAAUUUAGCCAAAUAAUAUCCAUUUUCAAUAUCCAUUAACUGAAAAGGUUGUAUAGGCUUCCAAAGGUUACUAACUUGAUUAAACAGAACACCGUAGCUGAUAUUUCGGCCUAGUAGUUUCAGAACCACUGUCAACUCCAUCUCCUUAUAUAAUAUUUGUUUGACGCGAUCAGAAAAUUCAAUUCUCGGGAUUCCAUUAAUGGUGGAUCUGAUAACAUUAUCUUCUAGCAGAAUGAAAUCUCCAUCACUUCCCUCAUCAAAACCAGCAAUUCCCUGGUUAGCCCCAAUAGAACCAGACCCUAAUAGUUUGUCCUUCCAAGACAUUAUCAUGCUCGAAGAUGGAGCAGAGUCCACAGCCAUAUCAACAGUGACCCCAUCAGAUCCAUCUUUGAAUCUUACGUUCUUGGUAUUGCGAUCUUCAGACAACCGUGAAUCACUGUCACUUUCGAUCACUUCCAGAGAGUUCUCCACCACUUUACACAAUACAUAAAUAUUAUUUUAAUUCCUAUUGAGGUUGCUAUAAAUCAUUAUUAUUAAAAAGUUAAAUUAUAUUAACAAUCACUAAAUUAUUAAUAAAUUUUUUUAUUGAUUAUUUAAUUGUAGAAAGAUACAAAAUAUAUAUUCGAUUAUUUAAUUCUUUUCUUUUUUGUUCACCAG
rnacentral:lncRNA from 1 species